GCCAAGAUAAUUUCACUUUGUCAAGAUAAAAAGGAAGGACAUGCAUAUGAAGAAGCCAUUAUAUAAGGGGGGGGGGGAUAAAAUAGCAAGAAUGAAGACAUAUGGGAUAACGUUACACCUCCAACUCAUGAUUUUAACAAAUUGAAUAAAAAUCUCGUACUUAAAACCAACUAAAACAGUAUUAGCUAUCCUCUCGCCUGUACAAAUAAGAUGACAACCAAGAGUCUAAUAACCUAAUUGAAAACAGAGUAACAUUGAUAAAAGAGAUACCAACUUAACCCAAUUACGGCUUUUGGAACAACUUGUGACAGCAGCCGGUCAGAACCGCCAUAUAUGACAUCCCCGGCAACAAUCUCCUCACCUAUAAAAUCAACAAAUUGAAGCUAUUCUUUUGCUAACUCUCUUUUGCUAAAAUCAACUCGUUUGCUAACUAUUGGGCGCGUUCGCGGAGAAUCUGGGAUCAGAUUCCUCCGAGUUCGCGGCUGAGAGGGCGCGUUCGCGGAGUCAUCUUCUCCUGAAUUCAAAAUCCGGUUGGGUCAUUUCAUCAAACAUGUUGGGGGUAGCUUUUUUAGGCACAAUUUUCACAUAAGUUGUGCCCCCAAUCUCAACCAAAACUCAUGAACUAUCUAUUCCUUAAUUAAUCCCCAUAUAAACAAAAAUAACCCAACAAUUUAAAGACUGAUUAACACAUAUCAACGAGACCAUUUCAAAAAUACUUACCCAAGAUUGAGUAGAAAGGAGGGGAUAAAACUUACCUUAGAUGCUAACUCUUAACACAACGCCUAAGUGACUCCACAAGAUUGAGCUUACAGCCAGGAAUAAGGCAAGGAAACUCCACCACAAGAGGAAUUCUGACAAGAGCUCGAAUCCAACAACAAAAGACUCAAACCUCCUAGCUAUAGGAAUACUAUUUUCUUUAAUUUUCUUCUCUGUUGCCUGUAUUUUUUUUGUAAAUUUCCAUUCCUGUUUCUUGUCUCUCCAACCUCUUUCUUUCGAUGGAAAUCCCCUCUGUUUUGGGUAGUAAAUUAGUGUCCAAAAAACCUCUCCAAAACACUGAAGGAAGGGAAGUAUAUAUAGGAAGAGAAUGGAAUUGAAAAGGGGGGGAACGGAUAAGGAUUUGAGGUAUUUCAAAUUCGAAAUUCAAACUCUUGUGCUGGCUCAAUUUAGUACCAAUUCUCAACAGAAUUGAAAGAAUGGCCAUUCGAUUUCGAUACUUGGAUGACUCUCGAAAUGAUCUUCUACGAGGAGGACGCGGCUGGGAUUAGAGGUGGCUGGGUUCGCUGGGUUAGCAUUAUUCUUGAUAAGUUAACUUAAGCUAACCAAAUCAAAUGAAUAUUUACUAAAUCGAGCAACAAAUAGCAAAACAUUCCAUGAUGAAUUCAAACAUGAGCCUUUCAAUUUUUUUAAUGAAGAACACAUGCUACUUAAGACAAGACUACUGGCAAAUAAAUCUAGAAAAGGAAAUAAACAACACUCAAUACACUUAACUGUUCUGAACAUCCAAAGAAAAUCGAGUAAUCAUAUGGAGUAUUUUAAGGAAAAGAAAGAGCAUUUGAGGAGAAAUCUGAGUCAAGACAUACUAUUAAAACAAGCAGUGACAAUUUACUUAUAAUUUUGAAUUCAUAAAAAAAAAACUCUCAAAGACAUAUACUUUAUAUGGAUCAUAACAAUCAAAUUUAAAACUCCUACACCUAUAGAAGGUGGUACUAACAGUAGCAAACAAGUGAAGGAACUGAUACUGAAAACAGAACAGGGCAUAGACAAGAAAACACCUAAAUGCAAAGACAUACUAAGUACGAAAAUUAAAUCAAGAUGAGCAUAACGAGAGAUCCACACUUAAAGAGAUACGAUAAGGGAACUUAAACAUCCCAUGAGCUUAAGAAACUAGCAAACUAAAGGGCAUACGCAGAAACCAAGAGCUAAACAAAGGCACAUAUUAGGCCAAGAUAAUCUCACUUUGUCAAGCUAAAUUGGAAUUCAAGACCAAGCAAAUGACAAACGGAAGCCAACAUAUCAUUUCUGAGGUGCUAAACCCAAACAAACCCAAGCAUUGCUGCCCAACACCACAGAUAGGCAAUGACCAAUUUAGAUGAAAGCAAAUAUAAAACAAGAAGAAGACCGAAAUCUCUAGAGGUCGUACAACUAGUAAUAGCUAAUAACAACACAGAGAAGCUACACAAUCAGACAACAAAUGAAAUUUAUCAAAAAUAAAUAAUAGCUAAAUUAGUCUGUAAAUCGACUAAACAAAACAAAGAGCAACAAGUCAAGAUUAGGAGAGGGAUUUUACCUUUUGUGGACGAGAUGAAGCGAGCUAUUCCUCCACCACAAGAGGAAUUCCGACGAGAGCUCGAAUCCAACAACAAAAGACUCAAACCACCUAGCUAAUGGAAUACUAUUUUCUUUAAUUUUCUUCUCUGUUGCAUGUAUAAUUUUCUUGUAAAUUUUUGUUCCUGUUUCUUGUCUCUCCAACCUCUUUCUUUUGAUGGAAACUCCCUCUGUAAGGUAGUGUCCAAAAAACCUCUCCAGAACGCUGAAGGAAGGAAAGUAUAUAUAGGAAGAGAAUGGAAUUGAAAAGGAAAACGGUUAAGGAUUUGAAAUUGAAACUCUUGUGCUGGCUCCAUUUUCGUACCAAUUCUCAACGGAAUUGAAAGGAGGAAGAAGAACGUCGAUGUACGCGUAUUGCUGCUGGAAUUGAGCUGG
rnacentral:lncRNA from 1 species